ACACAUGCAAGUCGAACGGACUUACAUUGAAGCCUAGCGAUAUGUAAGUUAGUGGCGGACGGGUGAGUAACGCGUGGGUAACCUGCCUUGUACUGGGGGACAACAGUUGGAAACGACUGCUAAUACCGCAUAAGCGCACAGCUUCGCAUGAAGCAGUGUGAAAAACUCCGGUGGUACAAGAUGGACCCGCGUCUGAUUAGCUGGUUGGUGAGGUAACGGCCCACCAAGGCGACGAUCAGUAGCCGGCCUGAGAGGGUGAACGGCCACAUUGGGACUGAGACACGGCCCAAACUCCUACGGGAGGCAGCAGUGGGGAAUAUUGCACAAUGGGGGAAACCCUGAUGCAGCAACGCCGCGUGAGUGAAGAAGUAUUUCGGUAUGUAAAGCUCUAUCAGCAGGAAAGAAAAUGACGGUACCUGACUAAGAAGCCCCGGCUAACUACGUGCCAGCAGCCGCGGUAAUACGUAGGGGGCAAGCGUUAUCCGGAUUUACUGGGUGUAAAGGGAGCGUAGACGGUUUUGCAAGUCUGAAGUGAAAGCCCGGGGCUUAACCCCGGGACUGCUUUGGAAACUGUAGAACUAGAGUGCAGGAGAGGUAAGUGGAAUUCCUAGUGUAGCGGUGAAAUGCGUAGAUAUUAGGAGGAACACCAGUGGCGAAGGCGGCUUACUGGACUGUAACUGACGUUGAGGCUCGAAAGCGUGGGGAGCAAACAGGAUUAGAUACCC
rnacentral:rRNA from 1 species